rnacentral:tRNA from 1 species
GGCAGAUAGGCCAAAGUGGUUAAGGCGACUGAUCGAAAUCAGUUUCUAUCUUAGGAGCCGUGGUUCGAUCCUACUAUUUGCGG